GAUUGCCCUCCCCUACAGCUUCCUGAUUUAACCAUCCAUUUCACUGAACUGGAAACCCUAGAUCUAGAGCAAUCAUAGAGCCCGAGUUUGUCGUUGUGAAGGCAGUGGUAGAUUGAUGGCGAAUGAACAUCAUUAAGAGUUGUAGGUGGAGUCAAUUUUGGAGUUGCAUUCCAGACGAAGGAAACGGAAUUGAGAGCCAUGAUUUUCGUCGGAGUUUCGAGAAGCUAACCGGC
rnacentral:misc_RNA from 1 species